UACGUAGGGGGCUAGCGUUGUCCGGAAUCAUUGGGCGUAAAGAGCGCGUAGGCGGCCAGAUAAGUCCGGUGUGAAAGUCAAAGGCUCAACCUUUGAAUGCCGCUGGAAACUGGAAGGCUAGAGUGCGGGAGAGGAGAGUGGAAUUCCCGGUGUAGCGGUGAAAUGCGCAGAUAUCGGGAAGAACACCCGUGGCGAAGGCGGCUCUCUGGAACGCAACUGACGCUGAGACGCGAAAGCGUGGGGAGCAAACGGG
rnacentral:rRNA from 1 species